GUUCACAAGAGACCACGUAGAAGGAAAAAUCAAGUCAAGUUUGGAAACGAAUUUGAAGAAAACUACGCUAACAAUGAAAGCUGUCAAUGCAGAAAUGCAACCGUGUCUAACAGAAUAUCAACAUAUUUGUCGGAAGACAUCGGCUGCUUUACAACAAACAUUAAAGCAGAAAUUUUCUGUUCACCACCAUUAGGAAAACGACAUUCUGGAAAUCCGCAAGGAAUUAUUGAUGGCCGCUGCCGAAACAAAUCUGCACUGCACAAGCGUAGGGAAGUAUUGUACAAACACUCGUACUUACGUAGAGUAUUUGCUUCGACGUGUUACAUGAUAUUACUGAGAUGCCAUGGCUAGAAACUAUUAUGUUUUGUCGUUGUGUGGCAAGACUAAAUAUAAAUGCUUUUUGAUUUAUUUAUUGUCACUUUACGAAUUAAUUUUUUUAUUAUUGCUUCAAACACAUCAUCAUAAAUAGACUAAAUUUUCCAUCGGUUUCCAAAUCACUCUCUGGUCGAGUGUGUAGAUUUAGGUUUCUCAGGU